GAUAAACAAGCGAUCACAAAGAACAACCUUAGCCGAACUUCCGCUGAUUUGAACCAAACGGUACGUACUGUAGCUUCCUGACGUCACGUUGUUGCUUCGUCGGCUGUGAUCAGCUGUGAGCAGCCGAGCGCCCAAAGCAGCAGCAACGUUGAUACUGGCGUCGGAACCGGAGAGCGCAAGUUUACACACGGACCCCAAUCCCCGUGGAAAUGUGACUUUCUGCGUUACAUAUAAGAACCAUGGAAACAGCAAACACUGUAGAAAGUGGUCCUCCAUGUUUCCUUUUUAAUGAUUGUCUCUUGAAAAAUGCAUCAUGAAAGGAAGAAGAGGAGAAGCACAAAUAAGGUUUGAGAAGAGCUGGUGAGCCUCCAGAGGGGAAGAGAUGGGAGA
ensembl:lncRNA